rnacentral:rRNA from 1 species
CAGUAGCCGCGGUAAUACGAAGGGGGCUAGCGUUGCUCGGAAUGACUGGGCGUAAAGGGCGCGUAGGCGGAUUGUUUAGUUAGGCGUGAAAUUCCUGGGCUUAACCUGGGGACUGCGCUUAAUACAGGCAGUCUAGAGUGAGGAAGAGGGUUGUGGAAUUCCCAGUGUAGAGGUGGAAUUCGUAGAUAUUGGGAAGAACACCGGUGGCGAAGGCGGCAACCUGGUCCUUGACUGACGCUGAGGCGCGAAAGCGUGGGGAGCAAACAGGAUUAGAUACCCCUGUAGUCCCUGUCUCUUAUAC